GUGAGUCAUCGAAUCUUUGAACGCAACUUGCGCUCUCUGGUAUUCCGGAGAGCAUGCCUGUUUGAGUGUCAUGAAAUCUCAACCAUUAGGGUUUCUUAAUGGCUUGGAUUUGAGUGUUGCCAGUCUCUGGCUCACUUUAAAGGAGUUAGCGAGUUUAACAAUGUCGUCUGGCGUAAUAAGUUUCGCUGGUAAGACUUGUGAAGUUUGCUUCUAAUCGUCUUCGGACAAUUACUUUGACUCUGGCCUCAAAUCAGGUAGGACUACCCGCUGAACUUAAGCAUAUCAAUAAGCGGAGGA
rnacentral:misc_RNA from 1 species